AUGUAGCACUCGUACACCCCGGUUCCCUCGCGCCAUCCGCACCCACCUGACGACCGCUCGCUACGUUUUGUUGGCC
rnacentral:sRNA from 1 species